UGCCUAAUACAUGCAAGUCGAGCGGCAGCGCGAGUAGUUUACUACUUGGCGGCGAGCGGCGGACGGCUGAGUAACGCGUAGGAACGUACCCCAAAGUGAGGAAUAACUGCCCGAAAGGGUGGCUAAUGCCGCAUGUGCUCUUCGGAGUAAAGCUUCGGCGCUUUGGGAACGGCCUGCGUCUGAUUAGCUAGUUGGUGAGGUAAAAGCUCACCAAGGCGACGAUCGGUAGCUGGUCUGAGAGGAUGAUCAGCCAGACUGGGACUGAGACACGGCCCAGACUCCUACGGGAGGCAGCAGUAGGGAAUUUUCCACAAUGGGCGAAAGCCUGAUGGAGCAACACCGCGUGCGAUGAAGGCCUUAGGGUUGUAAACUGC
rnacentral:rRNA from 1 species